GUGGGGGAUAUUGCACAAUGGAGGAAACUCUGAUGCAGCGACGCCGCGUGAGUGAAGAAGUAUUUCGGUAUGUAAAGCUCUAUCAGCAGGGAAGAUAAUGACAGUACCUGACUAAGAAGCCCCGGCUAACUACGUGCCAGCAGCCGCGGUAAUACGUAGGGGGCAAGCGUUAUCCGGAUUUACUGGGUGUAAAGGGAGCGUAGACGGAAUGGCAAGUCUGAAGUGAAAUUCUGCGGCUUAACUGCAGAAUUGCUUUGGAAGCUGUCAAUCUGGUGUGUUGGAGUGAUAAGCGGAAUUACUGGUGUAGCGGUGAAAUGCGUAGAUAUCAGGAAGAACACCGGAGGCGAAGGCGGCUUACUGGACAAUAACUGACGUUGAGGCUCGAAAGCGUGGGAAGCAAACAGGAUUAGAUACCCUAGUAGUCC
rnacentral:rRNA from 1 species